GACGAACGCUGGCGGCGUGCUUAACACAUGCAAGUCGAACGGAAAGGCCCUGCUUUUGUGGGGUGCUCGAGUGGCGAACGGGUGAGUAACACGUGAGUAACCUGCCCUUGACUUUGGGAUAACUUCAGGAAACUGGGGCUAAUACCGGAUAGGAGCUCCUGCUGCAUGGUGGGGGUUGGAAAGUUUCGGCGGUGGGGGAUGGACUCGCGGCUUAUCAGCUUGUUGGUGGGGUAGUGGCUUACGAAGGCUUUGACGGGUAGCCGGCCUGAGAGGGUGACCGGCCACAUUGGGACUGAGAGAGGGCCCAGACUCCUACGGGAGGCAGCAGGGGGGAAUAUUGCACAAUGGGCGGAAGCCUGAGGCAGCAACGCCGGGUGCGGGAUGACGGCCUUCGGGUUGUAAACCGCUUUCGCCUGUGACGAAGCGUGAGUGACGGUAAUGGGUAAAGAAGCACCGGCUAACUACGUG
rnacentral:rRNA from 1 species